rnacentral:rRNA from 1 species
GAGAGUUUGAUCCUGGCUCAGGAUAAACGCUGGCGGCGUGCCUUACGCAUGCAAGUCGAACGCCCCGACUUCGGUCGGGGAGUGGCGGACGGGUGAGUAACACGUACGUGACCUGUCCCGAACUGGGGGAUAACCGCCCGAAAGGGUGGCUAAUACCGCAUGUGCCCACCAGAUUGCGGUCUGGUGAGUAAAGCUCCGGCGGUUCGGGAGGGGCGUGCGGCCGAUUAGCUAGUUGGUGGGGUAACGGCCUACCAAGGCGGCGAUCGGUAGCUGGUCUGAGAGGACGGCCAGCCACACGGGGACUGAGACACGGUCCCGACUCCUACGGGAGGCAGCAGCGAGGAAUCUUGGUCAAUGGGCGCAAGCCUGAACCAGCGACACCGCGUGGAGGAUGAAGGCCCUCGGGUCGUAAACUCCUUUUGUGUGGGACGAAGCUCUGACGGUACCACACGAAUAAGCCCCGGCUAACUACGUGCCAGCAGCCGCGGUAAUACGUAGGGGGCGAGCGUUGUCCGGAUUUACUGGGCGUAAAGCGCGCGCAGGCGGUCUGUCGCGUCCGUUGUGAAAGCUCCCGGCUCAACUGGGAGAGGUCUUCGGAUACGGGCAGACUCGAGGGAGGCAGAGGAAGGUGGAAUCCCCGGUGUAGUGGUGAAAUGCGUAGAGAUCGGGGGGAACACCAGUGGCGAAGGCGGCCUUCUGGGCCUUUCCUGACGCUGAGGCGCGAAAGCGUGGGGAGCGAACCGGAUUAGAUACCCGGGUAGUCCAUGCUGUAAACGAUGCUCACUAGAUGUGGGGGGUAUCGACCCCCUCCGCGUCGAAGCUAACGCGAUAAGUGAGCCGCCUGGGGACUACGGCCGCAAGGCUAAAACUCAAAGGAAUUGACGGGGGCCCGCACAAGCAGCGGAGCGUGUGGUUUAAUUCGAUGCGACGCGAAGAACCUUACCUGGGCUUGAACGUGCAGUGACAGCCGGUGAAAGCCGGUCUCCCUUCGGGGCACUGUGCGAGGUGAUGCACGGCUGUCGUCAGCUCGUGCCGUGAGGUGUUGGGUUAAGUCCCGCAACGAGCGCAACCCCUAUCGCUAGUUGUACUUCUCUAGCGAGACUGCCCGUAGCAAACGGGAGGAAGGCGGGGAUGAAGUCAAGUCAGCGUGUCCCUUACGUCCAGGGCUACACACACGCUACAAUGGCCGGUACAACGGGUCGCAACACGGCGACGUGAAGCUAAUCCCUGAAAACCGGCCUCAGUUCAGAUUGCAGGCUGAAACCCGCCUGCAUGAAGGUGGAGUUGCUAGUAACCGCGGGUCAGCAUACCGCGGUGAAUACGUUCCCGGGCCUUGUACACACCGCCCGUCACGUCAUGGAAGGUGGCAACACCUGAAGUCGCUGCGCCAACCCUUCGGGGAGGCAGGCGCCUAGGGUGGGGUUGCUGACUGGGACGAAGUCGUAACAAGGUAGCCGUAG